UUAUGAUGCCCUCACUUUUUCUUGCUUUCACCAUUAGAAACCAGCGUUGACUAAAAAUGUAUGCUCCUCCAGGAUAUCAAGAAAUGUCAUACUUUGAUCAUAUUCAAAGACGCAGGGAGGAAAAGGGCCAUCUUUAUGCUUGCCUGUUUGCUCUUUGUUGCUGUUUCCUUUGCUACGAGACUUGUGAGUGCUGCUUGGAUAUCUGCUGCUGCUCCUGCGCUUAGUGCAUGUUUGGUCGGGAUUAUGAAUUAAACGAAUUUGAAUCUUAUUUAUUGUAUUGUCUACACUUGUGUGUCUUAUGAUGUGUACUAAACGUAUUGAUGAAUGAUAAUAUACUGUUGAAUGAUUGAGUAAAUUAGUGAAUAAGUUUUAUGCAGUGAUGC